rnacentral:lncRNA from 1 species
AGGGAAGAAAAGUCAGUAGAGAAGGUAGGCAGUGCUUGCAAAGGCCUGAGCACUGCAAGAAUGGACUAAUACGCUAUGUGAAGACAAAGGGGAUGUCUGCAAGCCAGGACGAGUGCGUCUACCAGAAACUGAGUUCUGCUGGACUUUGAUCUAGGACAUCCAGCCUCCAGAAUGGAAUGUGCCAUAUGUGGAGACCUGCAUGGAAAGGAACUGAGGAUGCUCUCUCACUAAAAGCUAGAAGGAACUGAGGCCCUCAGUCAACAGUCUACAAGACACUGAAUCUUGCCAGCAGCCAAGCAGUGAGCUUGAAAGCAGAUCUAUCAUCAGCUGAACCUUCAGAUGAGACCGCAGCCUAAGCAGAUACCUUGGUUGCAGCCAUGUGAGACAACCUGAAACAGAGGGCACAGCUAAGCCUCAGCCAGGUUCAUGACCCUCUGAGGAAACUGUGAGAAAGCAAAUGUCAUUUUAAGCUAUUUAAUUUUGGAGGUAGUUUAUUACACAACAAUAAAUAACUAUUAUAAUUAUCUUGAGGAUUUAUUUCCUGGGGAGAAUACAUGGAAUUGCAUAUAUAGGUCCUCAUAUGCAGAAUACUGGUACCCUAGAGAUGUUCACCCCAGAGAUGUUUUAGGAACCUGUGAAUAUGUUACAUUAAAUGGCAAAGUUUUCCUGGAUGGUUUAAGUUUAAGAUGGAAAAGUUUUACUGGAUUAUCCAGUGGGUCCAAUCUAGUAACAUGAGUCCUUAAAAAUGGAGAAUAUUUUUUGGCCAUGAUCAGAGAGACAUGUGAUGAUGGAAAAAGUGUCAGAGAUGCAAUGUGAGGGGACUAAAACUGCUGUUGCUGACUUUAAAGAUGGAGAGAGGGGAACCCGAGUCAAGGAAUGCAAAUGGCCUCUGGAAGCUGGAAAAAGCAAGAAAUGGAUUCUCCUUUAGAGCCUGUGGAAUAAAAUGCAGUCAUGCUGACACCUUGAUUUUACCUCAGUGAGACCAAUACUGGAGUAUGACCUUCGGAGCUGAAUAAAAUUAUACGUACACAUCUUAAUUUCUUGGGAUUUGAUUACUUCUUCUGCUUUGAAAUUAGACCAAGUUUAGCCUGCCUUUGCUAUUUUGGCGUAUCUCCAAUUCUUCAUGAUUUUCUCAUCGCAAAGGCCACAUAAGGACAGUGAGAAGGCAGCCACCUGCAAGCCAGGAAGAAAGGUCUCACCAGAUACCAACCCUGCCAGCAUGUUGAUCUUGGACUUCCAGCCUCCAAAACUGGCCUUCUGCUCACAUGGGCUUCCGUGCACCUGCUUCAGGAGACAGCAACACUUGCGCCCGCACCGCGGCAGGCUCCCAUCACCUGGUGGAUAUGCCGCGCCGAGUCUCAUCACACCUUAGUGAAGGAACACAUGGACCCAUAUGUUAGCGGAUGUAUUUACAUCGUUUUAUACAGAAAGGGGAAGAAAACUGCAUACCUCAGAAAGGGGUUGCUCCUCACUCUGAGUACUAGACUAAAGAUAAAAAGACUAGAUAAAAGUACUAGACUAAAGACAGAGCUGACCCAUGACAGAUGGAGUCUUGCUCUGUCACACAUGCUAGAGUCCAG